AGUGAACGCUGGCGGUAGGCCUAACACAUGCAAGUCGAACGGCAGCACAGUAAGAGCUUGCUCUUACGGGUGGCGAGUGGCGGACGGGUGAGGAAUACAUCGCAAUCUACUUUUUCGUGGGGGAUAACGUAGGGAAACUUACGCUAAUACCGCAUACGACCUACGGGUGAAAGCAGGGGAUCUUCGCACCUUGCGCGAUUGAAUGAGCCGAUGUCGGAUUAGCUAGUUGGCGGGGUAAAGGCCCACCAAGGCGACGAUCCGUAGCUGGUCUGAGAAGAUGAUCAGCCACACUGGAACUGAGACAAGGUCCAGACUCCUAAGGGAGGCAGCAGUGGGGAAUAUUGGACAAUGGGCGCAAGCCUGAUCCAGCCAUAGCGCGUGGGUGAAGAAGGCCUUCGGGUUGUAAAGCCCUUUUGUUGGGAAAGAAAAGCAGCAGGUUAAUACCCCGCUGUUCUGACGGUACCCAAAGAAUAAGCACCGGCUAACUUCGUG
rnacentral:rRNA from 1 species